AGAGUUGAUCAUGGCUCAGGACAAACGGCUGGCGGCGUGCCUAACACAUGCAAGUCGAACGGAGCUUAUCACCUUCGGGAGGUAAGCUUAGUGGCGGACUGGUGAGUAACGCGUGAGCAACCUGCCCUUCAGUGGGGGACAACAGCUGGAAACGGCUGCUAAUACCGCAUGACGUUAGAUGAAGGCAUCUUCGUUUAACUAAAGAUUUAUUGCUGAAGGAUGGGCUCGCGUCUGAUUAGAUAGUUGGUGAGGUAACGGCCCACCAAGUCAACGAUCAGUAGCCGGACUGAGAGGUUGAACGGCCACAUUGGGACUGAGAUACGGCCCAGACUCCUACGGGAGGCAGCAGUGGGGAAUAUUGGGCAAUGGGGGGAAAAACCCCCUGACCCAGCAACGCCGCGUGAAGGAAGAAGGCUUUCGGGUUGUAAACUUCUUUUAAGUGUGACGAUAGUGACGGUAGCACUUGAAUAAGCCACGGCUAACUACGUGCCAGCAGCCGC
rnacentral:rRNA from 1 species